AGAGUUUGAUCAUGGCUCAGAUUGAACGCUGGCGGCAGGCCUAACACAUGCAAGUCGAACGGUAACAGGAAUCAGCUUGCUGCUUCGCUGACGAGUGGCGGACGGGUGAGUAAUGUCUGGGAAACUGCCUGAUGGAGGGGGAUAACUACUGGAAACGGUAGCUAAUACCGCAUAAUGUCGCAAGACCAAAGAGGGGGACCUUCGGGCCUCUUGCCAUCGGAUGUGCCCAGAUGGGAUUAGCUUGUUGGUGGGGUAACGGCUCACCAAGGCGACGAUCCCUAGCUGGUCUGAGAGGAUGACCAGCCACACUGGAACUGAGACACGGUCCAGACUCCUACGGGAGGCAGCAGUGGGGAAUAUUGCACAAUGGGCGCAAGCCUGAUGCAGCCAUGCCGCGUGUAUGAAGAAGGCCUUCGGGUUGUAAAGUACUUUCAGCGGGGAGGAAGGGAGUAAAGUUAAUACCUUUGCUCAUUGACGUUAUCCGCAGAAGAAGCACCGGCUAACUCCGUGCCAGCAGCCGCGGUAAUACGGAGGGUGCAAGCGUUAAUCGGAAUUACUGGGCGUAAAGCGCACGCAGGCGGUUUGUUAAGUCAGAUGUGAAAUCCCCGGGCUCAACCUGGGAACUGCAUCUGAUACUGGCAAGCUUGAGUCUCGUAGAGGGGGGUAGAAUUCCAGGUGUAGCGGUGAAAUGCGUAGAGAUCUGGAGGAAUACCGGUGGCGAAGGCGGCCCCCUGGACGAAGACUGACGCUCAGGUGCGAAAGCGUGGGGAGCAAACAGGAUUAGAUACCCUGGUAGUCCACGCCGUAAACGAUGUCGACUUGGAGGUUGUGCCCUUGAGGCGUGGCUUCCGGAGCUAACGCGUUAAGUCGACCGCCUGGGGAGUACGGCCGCAAGGUUAAAACUCAAAUGAAUUGACGGGGGCCCGCACAAGCGGUGGAGCAUGUGGUUUAAUUCGAUGCAACGCGAAGAACCUUACCUGGUCUUGACAUCCACGGAAGUUUUCAGAGAUGAGAAUGUGCCUUCGGGAACCGUGAGACAGGUGCUGCAUGGCUGUCGUCAGCUCGUGUUGUGAAAUGUUGGGUUAAGUCCCGCAACGAGCGCAACCCUUAUCCUUUGUUGCCAGCGGUCCGGCCGGGAACUCAAAGGAGACUGCCAGUGAUAAACUGGAGGAAGGUGGGGACGACGUCAAGUCAUCAUGGCCCUUACGACCAGGGCUACACACGUGCUACAAUGGCGCAUACAAAGAGAAGCGACCUCGCGAGAGCAAGCGGACCUCAUAAAGUGCGUCGUAGUCCGGAUUGGAGUCUGCAACUCGACUCCAUGAAGUCGGAAUCGCUAGUAAUCGUGGAUCAGAAUGCCACGGUGAAUACGUUCCCGGGCCUUGUACACACCGCCCGUCACACCAUGGGAGUGGGUUGCAAAAGAAGUAGGUAGCUUAACCUUCGGGAGGGCGCUUACCACUUUGUGAUUCAUGACUGGGGUGAAGUCGUAACAAGGUAACCGUAGGGGAACCUGCGGUUG
rnacentral:rRNA from 1 species